rnacentral:rRNA from 1 species
UACGAAGGGUGCAAGCGUUACUCGGAAUUACUGGGCGUAAAGCGUGCGUAGGUGGUGAGUUAAGUCUGUCGUGAAAGCCCCGGGCUCAACCUGGGAAUGGCGAUGGAUACUGGCUCGCUAGAGUGCGGUAGAGGAGAGUGGAAUUCCCGGUGUAGCAGUGAAAUGCGUAGAGAUCGGGAGGAACAUCAGUUGCGAAGGCGGCCACCUAGCCCGCACCUGACGCUGAGGCGCGACAGCGUGGGGAGCGAACUGG